AUCAUUAAUCUUGGCAAACUAACUAUAAUUUUAAAGGUCUAAGCCUCGGGCAUCGAUGUCAGUGCACUGUUUUUCGAUGGAAAGCUUAUAACAAAUGUAUUUCUUGCAUUUAGGUAAGCAGUACACAUAAAAACGCACGUAAACAAAAACGGAGUACUCACCAUUAUUUUGUAAUAACGAGCCAGACACGCAUCCACUGUUAAAAAAUUCCAGAUUGAAUGGAAAGCUGAGGGUCCACUGAAUAACAUCCCAUAGAGCAUUUUUUGUCCAAAGAAAAAAUAAUGUUGUAAUAUCCAUGGUUAUUCCUUUGUUUACAUCGCGUUUCUUCAGGGUGAAUAUCAUGCGGUUUUGUUAUGCAAUAAAAUAGUCCAUAGAAAACAGACUCCCGGUAGCAGACCCUUAUAUGGGUGUGUUGCUUAGAGUGUAAUGAACAAAUUACGACCGCGCACACACACACAAAUACAAAGAUAAGCGAUAUUUAGUUCAAAAUAUGCGAACACUGCAGUCCGUUUUUUUGACGUCAUGAUAUGCACAUCAUAUCAUUCUGUCUUUACAACGAAAGCUAAUAAAAGAAACGACAUGAUAUGACUGAUAAAACGUGUAGCCAACCAGUGCACGAUUCCAACGAUGCCCGGGAAGUUUGAAUUUCUCACACGAACAUAUGUUUUUAUUUGCUCUCCGUCCGGUAGAGGAGCUAAACUUCAGGCUCUGCAGAGCCACACCCACCGCCGUCAUGUUUUGACAGCCUGCAGUGCUAUAGCUAAGAGCUAAGAUAACAAGCUAAGAGGUAGCUAACGUUAGUCAACAAACAUCUGUUCGUGCAGACAUGCAGACUGUCAUAAAAUGAUUUGUCAAAAGAAGUAUUUUUCUGCUGAAGUAACGUUAGUUAUUCGAGAUCACUCGAAGAUGGAUUAUGUCGACAUUGAUGAGAAGAUGAGUGAUGAGAAGAUCGUGACGACGGUGAUAAUUAUGCUUGAGGGCGGAAAAGAUUAUCCAAUUUUCGCCAUCAAGUUGAAUCUUCAGAUGAAGAAUGGCAUCCAAGCACCAGCCAGAGAUGCAAGCUCUCAGUUUCUUCACUAUUCUUCACUUUUUCCAUCCUUUUCAGAACAUUGCAAUUGUCAAGAGGAUGGUGGCAUCAAAAGCUAGGAAUGGACUAAAGCAAUAUAUGAAGGCCAAGCCAACAAAGUACAGUAUUUAUAUCACUUGUAUUUUCUAUUGCAAAGAACCUCAGUUAUUUUUUUUUUAUAUUUCAUAAUAUUUUACUUAUGUAUUUUACAUAUAUAUUUUUUUGUUCUGUUGUGCAAAUAAAUCACUUGCAUAAAGUCUAAUGGUUGUGUGUAUUAUUUUAUAAUUGCAUUAUUUUAUGAAUUGACUGAAAUAGCUUGCAGUGCCCUGCAUAACAUUUGGUCAUUAGGUUGCUUUUUGAUGUAUCCAAGGAGGUUUCUUGGUACCUGGACA